AAAUGCCCGCCCAUUAUCUGAGCCAAUCCAUUGAGGCAGUCCAAACCUAGGGAUGAGAUCUCGAAGAAGCACACGGGUUACUUCAUGAGCUUUUUCAGUUCGUGAUGGAUAAGCCUCUACUCACCUAGAGAUACUAAGACAUUUUUCCCAAGGUUGGUACCUCCUAGCAUAAUCUUAAACUUUUACUCUGGGACCUUAAAUCCAGUUAUCUGCUGUCAGCCAGAACAACAACAACAACAGCAACAAAAAGAUAAAAUCUUGCUGAGCUAUGAAUCAAUUAAGCACCGGAACUUUAUGAUAACAUAAUCCAGGAAGUCACAGGGAAUUUUGCUGCCAACAGUAAGAAAAGUAAUUGCAGAUACAUCACCUUCAUUUAUGAACUAGCAAACACUGCUGAAGCUUAAUGAUUCAAGCACAUUUAGAAAUGGACGCUUUGCAGUAAACAACGAUUAGAUUUAAGCCUAAGAAAAGAAUCCUGCUGUGUAAAACAUGCUCCUGAAGUAGAAAGCAGUUCUAUUAAAAGGGUUUUUUAUGUUAAUAAAAUAUAUAAUAUGUAUUUAGGAGAUUGUUUAUGUCAUAAUUUCAACUUCAGAUAAAACCAAGUGUACGUGAUGCAAUCAUAUUCAGAUACGACUCCAUAAUUUGUGUUAUUUUAUGAGCUCUUUAUUCACAAAAUUUUUACAUUCCCUAUAUGGCAAGAUAUGAUUUUACUUAUGUGAACAUAAAAUGUAAUUUUCCUAAUGUGUGUUUCACCACGUGGCCCAACAUACACACACACACAGAAGAGAGAAAAAUACAAAUCUCAUUUAAACAAAUGUUAACUCUUUUGCUGGAAAGACAAAACUGAAAUUCAACAAGAAUAAUUUCUGAGCUCUCGGCAUAGUAGGACAAAUACCCCAUUUCAAUUUCAUCUCUGAAUUUUUGUAUAUGGAUGUGUGAUAAGCAUUAAAUUUCAGCUAUGCAAAAAUUGCUUGAAAUAGUUUUGUAAGGGGGAGAAAGUGAGAAGCGGACUGUAUUUUGCAUUCUCUGUUUGCUUCCAGGACAUUUUAAUGUUAUCUUUAGGACAAAUAACAUUAAUAAUAUUUGAUAGGUAGUGUAUAAUGCCCUUAGAAAAU
rnacentral:lncRNA from 10 species